rnacentral:rRNA from 1 species
GACGAACGCUGGCGGCGUGCCUAAUACAUGCAAGUAGAACGCUGAAGAGAGGAGCUUGCUCUUCUUGGAUGAGUUGCGAACGGGUGAGUAACGCGUAGGUAACCUGCCUUGUAGCGGGGGAUAACUAUUGGAAACGAUAGCUAAUACCGCAUAACAAUGGAUGACACAUGUCAUUUAUUUGAAAGGGGCAAUUGCUCCACUACAAGAUGGACCUGCGUUGUAUUAGCUAGUAGGUGAGGUAACGGCUCACCUAGGCGACGAUACAUAGCCGACCUGAGAGGGUGAUCGGCCACACUGGGACUGAGACACGGCCCAGACUCCUACGGGAGGCAGCAGUAGGGAAUCUUCGGCAAUGGGGGCAACCCUGACCGAGCAACGCCGCGUGAGUGAAGAAGGUUUUCGGAUCGUAAAGCUCUGUUGUAAGUCAAGAACGAGUGUGAGAGUGGAAAGUUCACACUGUGACGGUAGCU